AUGCAUUUUGAAGACCAUGAGUUCGAGGUGGACGAGGAGGGUGAGGGCAUUGUCGACGCACCGAAAGGAAGAGCGGGCAAUUACACCAACACCGAUGAGAUCUUACUAUGCAAUACUUGGUUGCAAGUGUCGAGGGAUCCAUCCGUUGGAGGCGAUCAAAGUAGAGAUGCUUAUUGGAACCGGAUGAAGGAACACUUUGAUGCUCGCAACGUGAGUGGAAUUGACCGCUCCAACCGAUCACUUAGGUCCCGGUGGUCGACAAUCAACUCGGAUUGUCAAAAGUGGGUGGCUUGUCAAAAGGCGGUUCACAAGUUGAACCCAAGUGGCACAAAUGAGGACGAUAGAAAGAGGAGAGGAAACCAAGAAGGGGAAGAUCAAGAAAGGAAGGGUCUUUACUUUGCCUCGUUGCUAUGA
rnacentral:rRNA from 1 species